rnacentral:rRNA from 1 species
UAGGGAAUAUUGGGCAAUGGGCGGAAGCCUGACCCAGCCACGCCGCGUGCAGGAAGAAGGCCCUCUGGGUUGUAAACUGCUUUUGAUUGGGAAGAAAGCAUCUCAUGCGUGGGAUUUUGACGGUACCAAUCGAAUAAGCCACGGCUAACUACGUGCCAGCAGCCGCGGUAAUACGUAGGUGGCGAGCGUUAUCCGGAUUUAUUGGGUUUAAAGGGUGCGUAGGCGGCUGAUUAAGUCAGCGGUGAAAGGUAGCAGCUUAACUGUUUUACAUGCCGUUGAUACUGGUUAGCUUGAGUUGACAGAAGGCAGAUAGAAUUCCUGGUGUAGCGGUGAAAUGCUUAGAUACCAGGAGGAAUACCGAUUGCGAAGGCAGUCUGCUGCAGUCACACUGACGCUGAGG